UACGUAGGCAGCGAGCGUUGUUCGGAGUUACUGGGCGUAAAGCGUGCGUAGGCGGUUUUGCAAGUUUGGUGUGAAAUCUCCCGGCUCAACUGGGAGGGUGCGCCGAAAACUGCAAGGCUGGAGUGUGGGAGAGGUAGGCGGAAUUCCUGGUGUAGCGGUGAAAUGCGUAGAGAUGUGGAGGAACACCGAUGGCGAAGGCAGCCCCCUGGGCCGACACUGACGCUCAUGCACGAAAGCGUGGGGAGCAAACAGG
rnacentral:rRNA from 1 species